GAACCCGGCCCGAUUCUCAUUCCAAAAAGAAAUCCAGAACGACCUAACAUCUCCUUCUUCAAGUCCUUGUACAGAUUUUCUGCAAUUCCAGUUGUUGCCCCGUCUUGACCAAUGCGAGAUCAUUCCACGUCGACGACAGGGACGCUAGAAUCCAUUCCAAGCGUCCAUCCCCCUUUCCUCUUCUGGAAUGGGGUUGAAGCUUCAAGAAAAGGUGUUUUUCCUAAAUGGAAAAUUUUUUCAAAGGAUUGAAUUUUCAAUAGGUUUGGUUUUGGUCCGAAAAUUUCAUCUGAUUCCCCCCCCCCCCCCUUUUUUUUUUUCAAACCCUAAUUUCCCUUCUAUAUAUAGUUUGUUAUCUUUUUACUGUUGGAGUGGGAGAAAAUAUUGGAGAGAGUUACAAGAGUUGAAAUAUAUAUACAUAAGAAAAAGGUUGAAAAGUUGGGAGAAAAAAAGGAAAAACAGAGGAAAAAGUUGGGUGAGAGAAAUUGAACAAAAAGAGGUAUGAAGUUAGUCAUAAUCUACCAUUAGAAAAUAUAUCUUAAAAGAGUCAGUCUUUUGGUUUUGCUUGCAUUUUUUUUCGGGGGUUUUAUUGUUUGAAUCUGAGCUCCUGCAAUAGAAGAAUAGUGGAAGGUGGAUCCCCUGCAUGUUCUCGUCUUGAUUUGUUGCCUCAAAAAAGGUAUACAACUUCUCUCUUCUUACAGUUCUCUUUUUAACUUGAGUCUUAAUUUGUUUGUUUAGUUGGUUACACAGUUCUGGUAGUCCAUUAAGGAUAUGGAUUCCUCGUGUGAUUUUAAGAUUUGGUCGUUUGCUUGUUAAAUAUGAUCCCAUAUGUAUGUGUAGAUCAUGAAUGUGUUUAGAAGUUGUUUCGUAACUUAAAAUUGUUACUCUUCUUGUUCCUUGUUGAAUCUUCAUAGUUGCAUUUUGUUUAGUUUUCAAACUAUGCUAUUUGUCUUAGUCUAUUAUAUCCUUAAUCAUGAAGUUGUAAAUCUGAUUUAUUCGACGUCAUAUCCUUUAUUCUUUAAUCUCGAGUUGAAUGAAUGAAUUAAGAUGUCAGCAUUUCGAGUAAUGCCGCAUUCACCACUAUUUUGGGUUCUUAUAUUUUGUAUGUUAUUACUCGUUUUAAUUCCUUUUAUUUUGUUGCUUUGUUGAGUCUACUUGAGAGUGUAGGCUUGUUUCCCUUUGUCCAGAUGCUCUUUUUCUGAUUUCUUUUCCUCUGAUUCAAAUUUGCUGCAUCUGUUAAAUUGGCUACAUCUUUGGAUAUUGCUUCAUUUUAUUUUUUUAAACAAGAAGAAGUUCUAAGUGUCCUUUCAUUUUGAUAUGUCUUAAUUGAAAAUAGUAGCUAAUAGCUAAGUCAUAGGAUUUAUUUGAGUCAUUAGUAUUAAGUUCUAUGUAUUCAAGAUUGAUUUGAUAAUAUGGUUGUGAUCAAGUGUUAUACACAUGAAUAUGCUUAUGGCUUCUAGUCAUGGGUGUGUUGCUACUGUUUUUUGUCAUAAAUUAGUGCAAAUAGGAGCCUUAGUCAUGAGCAUUAAGUUAUGCACCAUGAAUUUUAUUUUCUUUUUCUUUUCGAGUAUCUAGAUAUUGGCAUAAAUUAAUUCUUGUUUGCUCUAUUAAAUUUUAUUCAAGUGAAGGUUCUUUGUUAACUCUUUUCCUUCUGUUUUGCCACAUGUGACACCAUCUGAGUCUAUCAGACUCCAUCCUUGCAUCGAGCUGAAUUUCUUCUGAGUCAUCCUCAUCUUGUUUGAGUGAAUCGGAGGCAAUCUACAUGCUGGAGAUUGAAUUUCAAGUCCCAAAAGCCCAAAAGCUGGUUGUAUACAGUCUGUACACAACAAUAUAAAAUGGUAUAUACUGCGAAAAUAAUGAUAUACAGGUCACAAAAAAAUAUGAAAAUAUGGAUUGAAACACAGUAGCUACAGGUUAAAAAUUAAAAAAACAGGGCAGAGACGAAGCAUAAGUCCCGUAUACAUUGUAUACUUAAUGUAUACAUGACUCACUUUGGCAUGAAUAUAGGCCAAUGCCCAAUUUUACUAGGCUUUGCUUGUGUUCCAGCAGGUCCCAGCAGACAAAUGGGUCCAAAAGAUCCCAAAAACAGGCCAAGCCCAUUAUGAAGGAAUUGUAGAUUUAGGACAGGUUUAGCGUAGGCCCAAGAAUUUGGUUUUAUUUCCUAUCUUAUCUUCAUUUGCUUAUUGAAGUUGGUUUAAUUUAAUUAAUUUCCCACAGAUAGUCAUAUAUAUAUACUUAGCCUUAUUUUCAUAAGUUAUAGUGCCUUAUGAAUUAUUUCCCUUUAAGAUAUUCUCCGUGUUUCAUUUUUCCCUUAAGAUAAUACAAUAAUAAAAUUGAGUAAAUAAGUAAAAAGAAUUGAUUUUCCUUUAAUUAUUUGAAAUUAAGAAACAUCAUUUAAAAGUCAUUUUAGUCAAAUCGUCGGUCAAACGCAAGUUAGUGGGCAUAUUGAGGGCUAACACCUUCUCGUAAUGUACAUUGAACUUCAAAUCCAUUUUUUCAAAUUGAUUUUUUUAUUUGUUUCAACCUUUUUGAAAAUCUUAAGUUUUUCUUGAUUUUUGUUAAAAAAAAAAAAUUGUGUGGCGACUCUUUUAAAUUGAAAAAUUGAUUUCUCAUAAAUCAUAAGUUUAAACGAUUUUUUAAAACUUAGUUAUUUUUUUCAUUCUUUUAUUAUUUUUCGAAGUAAAACAUGAACUAUUUAAAUUCAAACCUUUGUUAAGUCUAAGCAAAUGAGGUCUUAGCAAAUGUCGAAGCUAUUGAUGAAGAGAAAAUAUCUUGCACAACAAAAUGUCUGAUUUUAUGUUUUUUUUAGUGCAACACCUAAUUGCAUGGACAAUUAUUUUGAACUUGUCCCCAACAAGUUUAUUAGAGUAAAUUUCACAUAUAGCAUUAUAUGUAGUAUUAUUAUCAUGUUAUGGCAUUAGAGUUUUAAUUUCAUUCUGUAG
rnacentral:lncRNA from 1 species